GACGAACGCUGGCGGCAUGCCUAACACAUGCAAGUCGAACGAAGCCUUCGGGCUUAGUGGCGCACGGGUGCGUAACGCGUGGGAAUCUGCCCUUGGGUUCGGAAUAACAGUUAGAAAUGACUGCUAAUACCGGAUGAUGUCUUCGGACCAAAGAUUUAUCGCCCAAGGAUGAGCCCGCGUCGGAUUAGCUAGUUGGUGAGGUAAAGGCUCACCAAGGCGACGAUCAGUAGCUGGUCUGAGAGGAUGAUCAGCCACACUGGGACUGAGAAACUGCCCAGACUCCUACGGGAGGCGGCAGUGGGGAAUAUUGGACAAUGGGCGAAAGCCUGAUCCAGCAAUGCCGCGUGAGUGAUGAAGGCCUUAGGGUUGUAAAGCUCUUUUACCCGGGAUGAUAAUGACAGUACCGGGAGAAUAAGCCCCGGCUAACUCCGUGCCAGCAGCCGCCGUAACAC
rnacentral:rRNA from 1 species